rnacentral:rRNA from 1 species
UCGAGAAUAUUCGACAAUGGGCGAAAGCCUGAUCGAGCGACGCCGCGUGCAGGAUGAAGUGCUUCGGUAUGUAAACUGCUUUUGUGAACCAGAAAGUUUAUUGAUCGGUUCAAGAAUAAGAGGUUGCUAAACUCGUGCCAGCAGCAGCGGUAAUACGAGUGCCUCGAGCGUUAUCCGGAAUCAUUGGGCGUAAAGGGUGUGCAGGUGGUUUUGUUAGUCUUCUGUUAAAUUUCUCGGCUCAACCGGGAACCUGCAGGGGAAACGGCAAGACUAGAGGAUGCGAGAGGUUAACGGAACUCAUAGUGUAGCGGUGAAAUGCGUUGAUAUUAUGGGGAACACCAAAUGCGAAGGCAGUUAACUGGAGCACUCCUGACACUGAAACACGAAAGCGUGGGUAGCGAAUGGG